rnacentral:rRNA from 1 species
UACGUAGGCAGCGAGCGUUGUUCGGAGUUACUGGGCGUAAAGGGUGUGUAGGUGGCUGCGUAAGUCGGAUGUGAAAGCCCUGGGCUCAACUCAGGAAGUGCACUCGAUACUGCGUAGCUCGAGUACCGGAGAGGUUGGUAGAAUUCUCGGUGUAGAGGUGAAAUUCGUAGAUAUCGAGAGGAAUACCUGUGGCGAAGGCGGCCAACUGGACGAGUACUGACACUGAGACACGAAAGCGUGGGGAGCAAACAGG